UUUUUGUUUCUUUCAUUCCCCCUCCGCUCCCCCCCCCCCCCCCCGCAUUUACAACUGUCUUCACUCCGGUGGGCGAUUUAAGGGGGGGGAUUAUAUGAUAUAUAUAUAUUUUUGUGCAAGACCUUAAUCAUUUUUUUUCCUUUGCUUUCUUUUUUUUUUCGUUUUUUUGCAAACUGCACAAAGAAUCGGUUUGUAAACAAACCGAGCGGAUUUUUAACACUUUUCUUAUUAUUUUUUUUUUCCGCAAACAGGCAAAGCAGAUUUAUUUCCAGCAGUUUUUCUUUUUUUUUUUUUUUUCCCGAAUUUACCCGCUUUUCAUCGACCAUGUAAAACCUCGAGCAAAAAAAAAAAAAAAAAAAAAGAAAUUACCAUCCUAACCAGCGGACUCCCAGUCUCCAAGCUGUUUGCUUUUAGGAUGUCUCGCCGCAAGCAAGCUAAACCAAGAUCACUCAAAGACCCGAACUGUAAACUAGAAGACAAGGCAGAAGAUGGAGAAGUGCUAGACUGUAAGAAAAGGCCGGAUGAAGGGGAGGAGUUAGAAGAAGAAGUUGUGCACAGCUGUGACAGCUGCCUCCAGGUGUUUGAGUCACUGAGUGAUAUCACAGAACACAAGAUUAAUCAAUGUCAACUGACAGAUGGAGUGGAUGUUGAGGAUGACCCCACUUGCUCAUGGCCAGCAUCAUCACCUUCGAGCAAGGACCAGACUUCCCCGAGCCAUGGAGAAGGUUGUGAUUUUGGCGAAGAGGAGGGAGGCCCAGGGUUACCCUAUCCAUGCCAGUUCUGUGACAAGUCGUUCAGCCGCCUCAGCUACUUAAAGCACCACGAGCAAAGUCACAGCGACAAGCUCCCUUUCAAAUGCACGUAUUGCAGUCGUCUCUUCAAACACAAACGGAGCAGGGACCGCCACAUAAAGCUUCACACGGGAGACAAGAAGUAUCACUGCAGCGAGUGUGAUGCGGCGUUCUCGAGGAGCGAUCACCUUAAAAUUCACUUAAAGACUCAUACGUCCAACAAGCCAUAUAAAUGUGCCAUUUGUAGACGCGGAUUCCUGUCAUCCAGUUCGCUGCAUGGUCACAUGCAGGUUCACGAGAGAAACAAAGAUGGCUCUCAGUCUGCUUCCCGGAUGGAGGACUGGAAAAUGAAAGACACCCAGAAAUGCAGUCAGUGCGAGGAAGGCUUUGAUUUUCCUGAAGAUCUUCAGAAGCACAUUGCAGAAUGCCACCCUGAGUGUUCCCCUAACGAAGACCGGUCUGCUCUUCAGUGCGUUUACUGCCACGAACUCUUUGUAGAGGAAACGUCUCUGGUCAAUCACAUGGAGCAGGCCCAUAAUGGUGAGAAGAAGAAUUCGUGCAGCAUUUGCUCUGAGAACUUUCACACUGUGGAAGAGCUGUACAGCCACAUGGAUAGUCACCAGCAGCCAGAGUCAUGCAACCACAGCAACAGCCCGUCGUUGGUGACUGUUGGCUACACCUCAGUCUCCAGCACCACUCCCGACUCCAAUCUCUCGGUGGAUAGUUCAACGAUGGUGGAAGCGGCUCCCCCUAUACCAAAAGGCCGCGGAAGGAAGCGGGCAGCUCAGCAAGUGCCAGAUAUCACUGGUCCUUCGAGUAAACAGGCAAAAGUUACCUACAGCUGCAUUUAUUGCAACAAGCAGUUGUUUUCCAGCCUUGCAGUCCUGCAGAUACACCUGAAAACUAUGCAUUUAGAUAAACCCGAACAAGCCCACAUCUGUCAGUAUUGUUUGGAGGUGUUGCCAUCUCUCUACAAUCUGAACGAACAUCUUAAGCAAGUCCAUGAAGCUCCAGACCCAGGACUGAUCGUUUCUACCAUGCCUGCCAUGGUGUACCAGUGCAACUUCUGCUCUGAAGUGUUCAAUGACCUCAACACUCUUCAGGAACAUAUCCGAUGUUCUCAUGGAUUUGCCAACCCUGCUGCUAAGGACAGUAAUGCAUUCUUUUGUCCCCAUUGCUACAUGGGAUUUCUUACAGAUUCUUCUCUGGAAGAGCAUAUUAGACAAGUCCAUUGUGAUCUUAGCAGUUCCCGUUUUGGUUCCCCUGUGCUCGGAACCCCAAAAGAUCCAGUGGUGGAAGUGUAUUCUUGUUCUUACUGUACAAAUUCUCCAAUAUUUAAUAGUGUUCUUAAACUGAACAAGCAUAUCAAGGAGAACCAUAAGAACAUUCCUUUGGCACUGAAUUACAUCCAUAAUGGAAAAAAAUCCAGAGCCAUGAGUCCCUUAUCUCCUGUAACCAUUGAGCAGACCUCUUUAAAGAUGAUGCAGGCAGUUGGAGGUGCUCCUCCCCGUCCUGCAGGUGAAUACAUUUGUAAUCAGUGUGGUGCUAAGUAUACUUCCUUGGACGGUUUUCAGACUCAUUUGAAAACACAUCUUGACACCGUCCUGCCAAAACUGACCUGCCCUCAGUGCAACAAGGAAUUUCCCAAUCAAGAGUCCCUUCUGAAGCAUGUUACCAUUCAUUUCAUGAUCACCUCAACCUACUACAUCUGUGAAAGCUGUGACAAGCAGUUUACUUCUGUGGAUGACUUGCAGAAACACCUGCUGGACAUGCAUACAUUUGUAUUCUUCCGCUGCACCUUGUGCCAAGAGGUUUUUGACUCCAAGGUCUCUAUCCAGCUACAUUUGGCUGUGAAGCACAGCAAUGAAAAGAAGGUGUACAGAUGUACGUCUUGCAACUGGGAUUUCCGCAAUGAGACUGACCUGCAGCUUCAUGUUAAACACAACCACCUGGAGAACCAAGGCAAAGUGCAUAAGUGCAUCUUCUGUGGUGAGUCCUUUGGUACAGAAGUGGAGCUGCAGUGUCACAUUACUACGCACAGCAAGAAGUACAACUGCAAGUUCUGCAGCAAAGCUUUCCAUGCUAUCAUCUUGCUGGAAAAGCACUUGAGGGAAAAGCAUUGUGUUUUUGAAACAAAAACUCCAAACUGUGGGACGAACGGGGCAGCUGAGCAGGUUCAGAAAGAGGAAGUGGAGCUCCAGACCUUGCUGACAAAUAGCCAGGAGUCCCAUAACAGCCACGAUGGCAGCGAAGAAGAUGUGGACACAUCUGAGCCUAUGUACGGCUGUGACAUUUGUGGAGCAGCUUACACCAUGGAGACUCUCCUGCAAAACCACCAGCUUCGAGACCACAACAUUCGGCCUGGAGAAAGUGCCAUAGUGAAGAAAAAGGCUGAACUCAUCAAAGGGAAUUACAAGUGUAAUGUGUGUUCUCGAACAUUCUUCUCCGAAAACGGGCUCCGAGAACACAUGCAGACACACUUGGGACCAGUGAAACAUUACAUGUGCCCGAUCUGCGGUGAGCGGUUUCCAUCUCUUCUGACUCUUACUGAGCAUAAAGUCACACACAGUAAGAGCCUGGACACUGGAAACUGCAGGAUUUGCAAGAUGCCCCUCCAGAGCGAGGAGGAAUUUUUAGAGCAUUGCCAAAUGCACCCUGACUUGAGGAAUUCCUUGACGGGGUUCCGCUGCGUGGUGUGCAUGCAGACCGUGACCUCCACGCUGGAACUGAAAAUCCACGGCACGUUCCACAUGCAGAAAACUGGAAAUGGUUCUGCCGUGCAGUCCACGGGGCGUGCGCAGCAUCUCCAGAAAUUGUACAAGUGUGCUUCCUGCCUGAAGGAAUUCCGUUCGAAACAGGAUUUAGUGAAACUUGACAUCAACGGUCUGCCAUAUGGUCUGUGUGCUAGCUGUGUUAAUCUCAGUAAAAGUGGUAGCCCAAGUGUCAACAUCCCUUCAAGCAGUAACAGACAAGGCAUGGGCCAAAAUGAGAACUUGAGUUCCAUUGAGAACAAAAGCAAGGCAGGGGGACUGAAGACGCGAUGUUCUAGUUGCAAUGUUAAAUUUGAAUCAGAAAGUGAACUCCAAAACCAUAUUCAGUCAAUCCACAGAGAGCUUGUUCCAGACAGCAACAGCACACAGCUGAAAACACCACAAGUAUCUCCAAUGCCCAGAAUCAGCCCCUCCCAAACUGAAGAGGUAACCCUUUUUUCUUUGCUCUUGACACUUUCCAUCCUGUUGGAAAAAAGCCCCCUUUUUCAAGCCGUCCUGUCACUUGUCAUGAAAUGCUUAGGCUGAACCAUGUUCCAUUCCUAUCCGUAGCCACUAGCUAGUAAUUACUUUCUUCUUGGUAUACCUUACGUCUUGGAUUGAGUUGUGCGGAAUAGGACUAAUUCCAGUCUCCCUAGGAUAUUGUCUUCUGUAUCACUGAAGAGACCUGUCUUCAUGCCAGCACAACUGAGAUCUGGAAUCUUAUCCUAGCUCUGUUAACGCAUUGGAAUCCCCAGCUAGGAGUUGUGCUUACGGCAGGGAGCAUUAAUGGCAGAGGAGUAGAAUACAGUCAGCCAAAAUGCUGGCAUAAGGGGUGGAUUUUUAAAAAAUAUUUGUGAACAACAAAUUGAGGUGGGUUUGCUUUUUUGGUUUUGUUUGUUGGUUUUUUUUUUUUUUUUUUUUUUUUUGUAAAUUGUGUUGUAGACAUUCAUUUUUCCCUCUUAUAGCAUAUUUGGAUUAAGUAGAAUCACAACACUAGCCUAAGGUAAAUUGGGAAAUGAGUCCUUCUGAUAUAAUUCCUUGUUUUACUUUUCUUUCCAUUCCUGAUGAACAACAUUUUGAUGUCUCUGAAGCACCUAGUGUCUGGUGAUUGAAAUCCCAUUCAUGCGGUGUACUUUAGAAAGUAAAGACUUCAGAAAAAUAAUAAUAAAAAUAUAAUAAUAAAAAAGGGUAAAAAAAAAAAGAUUUCAGAAAAAUAAAAAAAAUACAAAGGGUCAAACUCUUGAAAGAUCUCAUCUACCUCUUCAGACACCAUGACCAAGUAAUAACGGCUGCAUGGGGAGUAGUGGGGGAAGGUAGGGGAGCCACUUACUGAGGGCAGGUAAUCUGUUUUAUCUCCAGAAAUAUUAUCAAUAGAAUGACCUAGAGUUAAUAUUUUAGGCAUGGUAUCAUAAUGACCCCUUGUAGUUCAGGAAGCCUAAAAACACAGCACAAACAAAUUAUAAGAACUAAUAGCUUUUGCUUUAAGAAAGCUUUUAACCUGUAAUGGUGCAAGCAUGGUGCAACCCAUCAGUGUGAAUACAUAUGGAUACCCUGUGGUUAAGGAGCUGUUCUUCCAUCACUCUCCUCGCUUCCCUGUUUGUGAGCCCAUCUGUUGGGUAAGAAAUCUCUUAGCCUGUUAUCCAAUAGACAUGUGCAAGCCAGAGGGCAGGAGGAAGGCAGAGCGGAAGAAGGGGUGAUACAUAAGGGUACGUGGGCCAACAGGUACCUGUUUGUGGAUCUGCUGAGAACAUAGCUGGAGGAGCCUGGGAGGAGGCCACUGAGGCAGCACAGGACCUGGAGUGCCACCAAGGGGGAACAGGAGUUGGGAGAGGAGGGUGAAAUACCAGGCAGGAUGUGUCCACCAGAGAAGGACCCCAUGCUUUCAUGGCUUCUGCAUCUCCAGUGUGUAAGUUGGGCAUUGAGGGGACACACUUGGUGAAUGGGAUGUGGUGUGGAGUUUAUGGGAGGAACAGGUUAUUAGGCUGCGAAGAGCAGGUCUAAAGAAAACCUUAUUUUCAAAGAAGAGGGAAAAGGAAUGGCUCCCAUUAGUUGCAGUUCAGACCACUGAAUGUCCUGUAGUGUUGCUGUUGAAUAGAAAUUACAGGAUGACCAGCUGUAAGUUUUUGAUAGAUUCAGAGUCAUACUGUUUUCUAUUUCUGUCAUCUUUCCCCAAAAGACUGCUUGAAAUCUCUCUUCCCAGUCACAUAGGAAGCCAAUUGCUGCUACCUUCAAGCACAAUGAGAAUCAUGCAUGUUAAGAGAGUUACCAAGAUAAGAAGAUGUUACCAACUUGUCUUUCUCUUGCUUGUAAACUUAAGAAAAAGAGAUUUAGUUGUUCUCUGUGGUGAUAUAAGGUCAGUUACCUUCAAUGCCAUCAGUGAAUCUUCUUGUACUUGGAUGAGGUAUAAUCAGGGUUCUUGUGAUUGGCCUCAUGUUUCUCUUACUCUUUUUUGACUUUUAUCUUAGAAAUGUACUUAAGAUGAAAAAGCCUUUUAAACCAGAGCAAGAUUAUUGAGUAGCAUUUGCAUGCUUUCAAAUCACCGUUUGCCCCCUGCCUCCAUUCAGAGCUCUUAAACUGAUUUUUCAGUGCAUGUGGUUCUAGUCUCCACAUAAGUAACCUAGACUUUCAGAUUCUUUUCUCAGGGGAAGCACAAAGCUAUCAAGUUCCCGAUAAAACAUUAGUACUUUUGGAAAUCAUAAAUGCAUGUUUGUAAAAUCUUGAAAGAUGAUUUAUUUUUCUAACAGAUAUUACUGGUUUCAAAUUGUAGUGAUGCAGGCAUUAUAGCAAUGAGAAACAAAAUUGAAAGUGGUAAUACACAAAUGUUUAACACUAUAGAUUUGAUGUCCAGGCUGAGGGGAAUGAAAACAUAAGCAUAUAACACAAACAGUAAAAACAAAUUGGGUUUGUAAAAGUUAUUAUUAGGCAGUGGCUUUGUUACUCCACUGGAAGAAUAUGUGUUGAAUUGAAUAGGAUGUUGAAAAUGGCUACAUAAACAUGCUAUUUUGGGGGAAAUUUCAACCCCCCAAAAAUCAUAUUAGGGAGUGAAGGUUUCAUUUGCAUUAUUUAUAGUUGUGUGGUUUGAUUUGUCAGACUUCAAGUAAUGAACAUUUCACUCAAGAAGGUGGUUAUCAGACAAUUAACAGUGCUGAAUGCUCUGUGUUACUCAAUUAAAAGAAUACUAUGCGAAGAGUGCCAGAAGAUAUCUUUUUAAGAGAAAAGAUAACACUAAAAUGUGACUUCUGGUUUCUUGGCCAAGUAUUCUUAUGCUUGAACUGGAACACUUUCCUUCUAAGCCUGUACACAAUAAUGUGAUAGGAUGUGAUUGCCUUAACAUAGCACAAUGUCAUCAGCUGAGAUAACACCUUCUGAGCUCCCCCUGCUUGCUACGUGAAACAUGUUGACCUGAAUCGUCUUGACUGCCAGUUACCUUUCAGUUGGGACAGGAAGUGAUGCCCAGCGCUCAUCAUCAGUUACAACAACUCAAGGAACAGGUCAGAACUGAUUAAGUCCAUGAUACUGGUGAAUCUACAGAACCCAUAAACUACCAAACAGACUUAAACGGGCAGAUUGUGGAUAGAUAGCUAUUGAAAGAAUUCUACAAUUGGUAAAUCCCUAGUAUUAUUUGGGCUUAAUAAGAUGCUGAAUCCAUGCUGUAGAUUUCUUGUAAAGAUCCUAAAUUAUUGGAAGCAUGCUGUUAGGUUAGGAUAAUAAUCUUGGUAAUAUUUAGAGCUUAAAAGUGGAGAACAAGGUUUGAUGUGAUAGUGAAUUGGAAACUAGACAUCAGUCCUUUUUCUUUCACUUGUUUUCUUGUUGAGUUGGACAAAUCCACUUGAACAUUUUUGCUUCAUUUUCCUUGAGAAAAUAAGGUUGGUAGUUCCCGAAAAGUGUGUUACCGUGCUUAAUCACAACACAUUUUUUUGUAAAGCGCCUGGAAGAUGAAAAGCUGUGUUCAAGAAAAAAUGUGCAUCUAUGCCUCUCUUGUUCCCCUUUAAUGCGUUGCCAUGCACCUAACAAGAAAAUUCCUGACUCAGCAGAACGUGUGCCUUUACUUUUGAAGCUUAACAACUUCUGUACAUGGAGAACCACACCAGCAUAACUAUACAAUAAUAAUUAUACUGUUAAUUGCUUAGCUAGCAGGGGAGGGGGGAAUGGACUCUGGCUUAAACCAACACCUUAUUGGUAAAGCCUAUCUGGUGCUAGCAUGUCCAUGUGAGCAACCGUGCUCAGUUUGGGGUCCUGUUGGUACCAUCCAGAGUAGAUGCUCAGCAAGCAUAAUUGCUUCUGUAAGUAGCUGAAUGUGGACCUCAUGUGAAUACUGUAUUACCUGUGGCAAUGCAGAAAGUCUGUCAUUAAUAAUACAAGAACAUGCUGGGUUUUCUGGUCCUGAGAAGAGAAGGGGCAGUGCAGAUGCACUGCCAAUUACUGCAGGAAUAAAAAUGCUUAUGUAGGUGUUGCAAAAGGCUUGCAGAAACUCACAGUAGCAAAGAGUAUCAAAAGUGCUGAACAAAGCAGAGAAGAACUAGCAACCGUCAAACCAGCUGAAGAACAGAAGGAGUGUGAAUCUGGGCCUGCUCUUCUGUCCUGUUGUGGUUGUGCAGAGCUGUGUGCCAGGAUGGGCAUGUCACAGCAGGGGACACUGGGCACAUCACAGCACUGUUCUGGAAGGAGCCAUCAAAGUGCAGGCUGACAAUGAGCUUUUGGAGAUGGGGAUCACAAAAUUCAGAUGCUGCGGAGAGCUGGUGUCUCCCUGAAUCUAAACUUACCGACCUCAGAUGAAUCCUGAAAUGGUAUCGACCUGGGACAAAGAGUGGAGUUCAGAUGCUUCAGUUGGGGAAUUUAGACCUUCUUCACACCUGUGGAAAACUUUGCAUCAGAGGAAGAAAGGAUGAUGUGUUCUUUGAACUUUACAAGAGCCCCAAGCCAAGAUUUCCAUUCAACGAGGUGGGGGGAGGAGAAAAAAAUCUCCUUGAAGAAAGGCAGAAGAACAGGAGAGGGACACAAAACUGGAUGAAGACAUUAAGCAACUCUAGGGUGGGCAAAUGUAGAUUCAGCAAAGGUUUAUGAGACAAAACGUCCUGAGAUGUGUUCUUCAACAGGUCAGCUGGCCAACUGACCAGGGUAACAUGCAACAGUUUCCCUUCCACACAGCCCCUGUGGAAAAUCAGAAUAGUGAUGAGUAUUUGUACUCUGACUUCAGAAUCAUCUAGAAACAGCAAGAUUUUUCUCCUGUUUUUCUAGCCUGAUUAACUUUGGGAACAAGACAUGAUAAAUCAUGGUAUGUCUUUUUGUUUCUUUGCAUACCUCUAGGGAAUUCUCUCUUCUCCCUCUAACUUUUGAAUUAUUCUUGCCCAGUUUCAACUGAAAUUUUAUAGUUAGGCAGGAAUAUUAAAACCUAUAAGGUUUUUAAAAUUUUGGGAAGAGAGGUGACCCACCAGAUCAUAGAGUCUAGACAGGAAAGAAGCCCUUUAGAGAUCCAAACCAGGAAGAUGGCUUUAACUGAAGUUCAUACCUGUUUUUUAUGCAAAAGUCAAUCAGUCACAAGAAGUGAAGCUGUAAGAAACCAUGAUCUGCUCUUUGUGGUGCUCAAAGAAUAACUUCUUAAUUGAGUGUAAAUGUUUUUGAGUUUUUGUUUGUUUGUUUGUUUGUUUGUUUUUUUAACCACUGCUCAAUAAAGCUGUUUUAUGUAA